CUUUGGUGGCGACCGGCGCACGGGUGCGUAACGCGUAUGUAACCUACCUAUAACAGGGGCAUAACACUGAGAAAUUGGUACUAAUUCCCCAUAAUAUUCGGAGAGGCAUCUCUCCGGGUUGAAAACUCCGGUGGUUAUAGAUGGACAUGCGUUGUAUUAGCUAGUUGGUGAGGUAACGGCUCACCAAGGCAACGAUACAUAGGGGGACUGAGAGGUUAACCCCCCACACUGGUACUGAGACACGGACCAGACUCCUACGGGAGGCAGCUG
rnacentral:rRNA from 1 species